rnacentral:rRNA from 1 species
AGAGUUUGAUCAUGGCUCAGGAUGAACGCUGGCGGCGUGCCUAACACAUGCAAGUCGAACGGUCCUGGAAGCUGGAAGCUGGCGACUGGAGACUAGCUUGCUAGCGACCAGUAACUGGCAACUGGCAACCAGGAUAGUGGCGAACGGGUGAGUAACACGUAGGUGACCUGCCCCGAAGAGGGGGAUAACCGCUGGAAACGGCGGCUAAUACCCCAUGUAGUCGUGAGGGUUAGAGGCCUCAUGAUUAAAGCUCCGGCGCUUUGGGAGGGGCCUGCGGCUUAUCAGCUAGUUGGUGGGGUAAUGGCUCACCAAGGCAAUGACGGGUAGCUGGUCUGAGAGGACGAUCAGCCACAUGGGCACUGAGACACGGGCCCGACUCCUACGGGAGGCAGCAGUGAGGGAUAUUGCGCAAUGGGCGAAAGCCUGACGCAGCAACGCCGCGUGGGCGAUGAAGGCCUUCGGGUUGUAAAGCCCUUUUCUGGGGGAAGAGGAAGGACGGUACCCCAGGAAUAAGACCCGGCUAACUACGUGCCAGCAGCCGCGGUAAAACGUAGGGGACAAGUGUUAUCCGGAUUCACUGGGCGUAAAGCGCGUGCAGGUGGUGCUUUAAGUUGGGCGUGAAAUCUCCCGGCUUAACUGGGAGGAGUCGUUCAAUACUGGAGCACUUGAGGGCAGGAGAGGGAGGUGGAAUUCCCGGUGUAGUGGUGAAAUGCGUAGAUAUCGGGAGGAACACCAGUGGCGAAGGCGGCCUCCUGGCCUGCUUCUGACACUAAGACGCGAAAGCUAGGGGAGCAAACGGGAUUAGAUACCCCGGUAGUCCUAGCCGUAAACGAUGGAUACUAGGUGUGGGUGGCAUUGACCCCAUCCGUGCCGAAGCUAACGCGAUAAGUAUCCCGCCUGGGGACUACGGCCGCAAGGUUAAAACUCAAA